rnacentral:rRNA from 1 species
GUUAUAGGGUCAAGUGACUAAGUGCAUGUGGUGGAUGCCUUGGCGAUUACAGGCGACGAAGGACGUGAUAGCCUGCGAUAAGCUUCGGGGAGCUGGCAAAUUAGCUUUGAUCCGGAGAUUUCCGAAUGGGGAAACCCGACCGUAAGGUCAUCAUUAUCUGAAUACAUAGGGUAAUGAAGCGAACCGGGUGAACUGAAACAUCUCAGUAGCUCGAGGAAAAGACAUCAACCGAGAUUCCGAAAGUAGUGGCGAGCGAAAUCGGAGUAGCCCUCGCGUUUUAGCAGUUUGCAUAUCAGAACGGAAUGGAAAGUCCGGCCACAGCGGGUGAUAGCCCCGUAUGAGAAAUGCAGAUUGUGGAACUAGGCGCGAAUAGAGUAGGGCGGGACACGUGAAAUCCUGUCUGAAUAUGGGGGGACCAUCCUCCAAGGCUAAAUACUCGUAAUCGACCGAUAGUGAACAAGUACCGUGAGGGAAAGGCGAAAAGAACCCCGGGAGGGGAGUGAAAUAGAUCCUGAAACCGCAUGCAUACAAAAAGUCGGAGCCCGCAAGGGUGACGGCGUACCUUUUGUAUAAUGGGUCAGCGACUUACAUUCAGUGGCGAGGUUAACCGAAUAGGGAAGCCGUAGAGAAAUCGAGUCCGAAUAGGGCGAAUAGUCGCUGGGUGUAGACCCGAAACCAAGUGAUCUAUCCAUGGCCAGGAUGAAGGUACCGUAACAGGUGCUGGAGGUCCGAACCGACUAGUGUUGCAAAACUAGCGGAUGAGCUGUGGAUAGGGGUGAAAGGCUAAACAAACUUGGAAAUAGCUGGUUCUCUCCGAAAACUAUUUAGGUAGUGCCUCAAGUAUUACCUGCGGGGGUAGAGCACUGUUUAGGCUAGGGG